UAAGGAUUUCAAUAAGCAGCAUAAGUUUACAUUUCAUGUCCAAAAAAGAGGGAACAAACUGCACGUCUGGUCCGACCCCUGUUCUCCUGUUCUACUCUAACCCACUGAUCCAUAAUCAUAAACCAACUCUCCGCCCAAGAGUCCGUCCCGUCACAUUAACCACUCAACACUGUUCAUCCUCUUCAUAUGAGAUAAGACAAACUUUAUUGUCCCCGCAAGAAAAUUUGUCUUAGGCAACAAUGCCACACAAAAACUUCAAUCACAGCAUGCUGCAGACAGUAAUGUACAACCAACCGACACAACAGAGAGACAAAAAAAAGAAAAGCCCACAAGCGUCGGCCUAAAGAUGUUGCAUCAGCCGCUGAAUACAGAUAGACGUGUGAAAAUAAAUGAAAAUAUCAUUUCCACAAGAACAAAGAACAAUACAAUACUUAGAUGAACAAGAGCAGCCGAGGUAAAAUCAUUGAAAAAUGAUAAAAUAAAAUCAGUAACAGCAAAUGUAGUAGCGCGUGCAAGUAAUACUAAACAGGCAGAGGGCGCUAAAACCCCUUAGAAACCUCUUAGAGUUUAGAAGGUUGUUUAUUUAACAGGGCAGGGGACGUCGGGAGGAAAGAGAGCUUGUAGCGAUUACUUUUGUUUCUGCGGGCUCUGUAACGUCUCCUUAAGGGAAAAACUUCAUACUCUGAACACAGAAUAUGAGAAGGAUCCUCCAAGUUUCUUUGUGCCUGACUGACAAAUGUUUUCUCGGAGAAAGCUUGUAGGACGGGUAAAUUAUCAACAGCACAAUCCCAAUAUUGAAAAAGAAAAUCAAUAACAACAAAAUCAUCAUUAACGUGUUUUACAUUUACCUUCUUAACCUCUGUACCUCACAUAAAUUAAAAAAAAAAUAAAAAAUUCAAAAUUAAAUUUCAGAUAAAAUUUUCCUUCUUUCCUCCAAGAACAGUUUUUGUACAUUUCCAUUGGGUACAUUAUUUCUUGCUUUACCUUUAAUAUUCAUUUCAGUUUGACUUAAAAAACAAAUUGUUGGUAUGUUUGAUAUCCGGCAUUGUUUACGAUUGUUAUGGCCGUUUUGUGUAGUCGUUUGAUUGGUGGGUGCGUUUGUAGGAGUUGUCCUCAAAUCAACAAGUUUAGACGACAGAGUGUACAAUGAUUUAUCAUCCAGGGUGUUUUCUGUUUUUCCCAAAACUGCAAUGCUUCUUGCCGACUUUCCUCGCAUAUAUUUUUUAUGGAAUUCCCAGCAGAUUUUGGAGUCUAAUAUCACACCAAGAAAUGUAUUUUGUUUUUUUUUAAAUCAUCGUCAAUCAUAACUUGUACUUGUGUAUUAAUUUUAGGAUUUUCAGACAACGGUUGUUUGUAUCAAACUACAUUUUAAUUUACUAAUUUCUGCUGUGACCACCUUCAAAAGCUGCUGCAAGUUUUCCCGUGAACAGAAAGUGUCGGUCUCUUCAGCAAAUGGUACAAAUUUAAGUAUUCUUGAUACUUUACAUAUGUUAUUAAAGGUGUUUUCAUAUACAGUCCUCUUUUAAAGAUCCGUACUCAGUCCUCUUAAUGUGGACCCAAAAGUGGACCAACAGAAAAGGGACAUUGUGAAAUCUUUUGAAAGAGGACCAAGAUACAGAGCAAACAGUUUAGGACCCAGUGCAGAGCCCUGUGGACCUCCACGAGUAAUACAGAGACAUUUUGAUUUGUAAUUACAAUUGUGCUCACAUUUAUUGUCAUGUGAGCUGCUGCCACUUAAAACUGUCUCAUGUGACCUGGUCACCUGAUCAGGCAGCAGUGAGGAGGUGCGUAGCGGGACGUCGGGGGAGAACGAGGAGGCGGCGGCGCUGCAGCAACAUGACUCUCCUGUAGGAGGCGCCACAGAGUCUGAGCAGAAGCCCAGCACUACUGCAUCAUGGGACGAGGAGACGGACGGCUGUCAGUCCUCCAGAAGUCGACCAAACUUCUUUUACCGCAGGAAGCGAGCCCUCAGGUCGAAGCUCACCUGUAAGGAUCACCCAGCCGGUAACCUUGACGACAGCAGCGUCAGUGACAUCACCGACUCUGACUGAAGACGAGCGGCCGUCAGAUUUCAUUUCUGCCAAUCGACAUUAAAAUCUUUCGUUGAGUUUGAA